rnacentral:rRNA from 1 species
AGUGAACGCUGGCGGUAUGCCUAACACAUGCAAGUCGAACGGCCGCACAGUAAGAGCUUGCCCUUACGGGUGGCGAGUGGCGGACGGGUGAGGAAUACAUCGGAAUCUACUUUUUCGUGGGGGAUAACGUAGGGAAACUUACGCUAAUACCGCAUACGACCUACGGGUGAAAGCAGUGGAUCUUCGGACCUUGCGCGAUUGAAUGAGCCGAUGUCGCAUUAGCUAGUUGGCGGGGUAAAGGCCCACCAAGGCGACGAUCCGUAGCUGGUCUGAGAGGAUGAUCAGCCACACUGGAACUGAGACACGGUCCAGACUCCUACGGGAGGCAGCAGUGGGGAAUAUUGGGCAAUGGGCGCAAGCCUGAUCCAGCCAUACCGCGUGGGUGAAGAAGGCCUUCGGGUUGUAAAGCCCUGUUGUUGGGAAAGAAAAGAAGCAGGUGAAUACCCCGCUGUUCUGACGGUACCCAAAGAAUAAGCACCGGCUAACUUCGUG